UACGGAGGGUCCAAGCGUUAUCCGGAAUCAUUGGGUUUAAAGGGUCCGUAGGCGGGCUAUUAAGUCAGAGGUGAAAGUUUGCAGCUCAACUGUAAAAUUGCCUUUGAUACUGGUUGACUUGAGUCAUAUGGAAGUAGAUAGAAUGUGUAGUGUAGCGGUGAAAUGCAUAGAUAUUACACAGAAUACCGAUUGCGAAGGCAGAUCACUAAUAAUCAACUGACACUGAUGGACGAAAGCGUGGGGAGCGAACAGG
rnacentral:rRNA from 1 species